rnacentral:rRNA from 1 species
ACUCCUACGGGAGGCAGCAGUCGAGAAUCUUGGACAAUGCACGAAAGUGUGAUCCAGCGACGCCGCGUGGAGGAUGAAGGCCUUCGGGUUGUAAACUCCUGUUGUAAGGGAGCAAACGGUAGUGGGUUAAUACCCCAUUACCCUGAUAGUACCUUACGAGGAAGCCACGGCUAACUCUGUGCCAGCAGCCGCGGUAAUACAGAGGUGGCAAGCGUUGUUCGGAUUUACUGGGCGUAAAGGGUGCGUAGGCGGUUUUGUAAGUCGGAUGUGAAAUCUUACCGUUCAUCGGUAAAACUGCAUUCGAAACUGCGGAACUCGAGUAUAGGAGAGGAGAGCGGAAUUCUUGGUGUAGCGGUGAAAUGCGUUGAUAUCAAGAGGAACACCGGUGGCGAAGGCGGCUCUCUGGACUAUUACUGACGCUGAGGCACGAAAGCUAGGGGAGCAAACAGGAUUAGAUACCCUGGUAGGCUCUGC